CAUCUGGAUCAUUUCUAGAGCCUUCUGAUCAGUCUCCUCACUUCUACCCUUUUCCUAACAGUCUACUUUUGGAACACCAGCUGGAGCGAUUCUUUUGAAACAUAGGUCAGAUUAUGUCACUCUUCUGCUAAAAUUUCUCAAGUAGCUUCUCAUUUCAUUCACAGUGAACAACAAAACUGUUACAAGACCCUGUGUAACCCUGUCCUCAAACCCAUCUGACCUCAGCUUCCCCACCACUCCCUGCUUCAUUCAAACUGUCUCUCUGAGAUUUAACACUGAUUGUGUUCCCACCUUAGGACCUAGGCAUGCUGUUUCCUCUCUUCAAAGACACCAGCGAAGUCACUCAAAUAUCUACAUUGCUGGAGGAGUCAAAGUGAGAUUUCUGAGACACAAAGGACGUAAUCCUAUUUCCAGGUGUCUUGUGAGGGGCCAGCCUAUCUAGAAGUAAUGACUUCAGCCCGGCAGUAUGUUUCAAAGAGGAGACCCUGCAGCAAC
rnacentral:lncRNA from 10 species